rnacentral:lncRNA from 1 species
CCACGGUCUUUUACAUAUAUAUGUGUGUGUGUGUAUACACAUAUAUAUGUGUGUGUAUACACAUAUAUAUGUGUGUGUAUACACAUAUAUGCGUGUGUGUAUACACUUGUGUGUAUACACAUAUAUGCGUGUGUGUAUACACAUAUAUGUGUGUGUAUACACAUAUACAUAUGUGUUCACAUAUACAUAUUUUAGAAGCUUUAGCUAAUGCAAUAGGACAUGAAAAUAAAAUAAUUGGUAGGAAUACUAAAAUAGUGUACAAUAUGUUCUAUAAUUAUAUAUGUAGGAAACCUAUAGACCUAAUAAAAUUCAUAAGAACUAGAAAAAGAAUUUACCAAGGAGUAUAUAUUAGUCCAUUUUCACACUGCUAUAAAGAACUGCUCGAGACUGGGUAAUUUAUAAAGGAAAGAGGUUUAAUUGACUUACAGUUCAGUGUGGCUGGAUAGGCCUCAAGAAACUUACAAUCAUGGUGGAAGGCGAAGGGGAACCAAGGCACCUUCUUCACAAGGCAGCAGGAAGGAGAAGUGCCAGGUGAAGGCGGAAGAGGCCCUUAUACCAUCAGAUCUCAUGAGAACAGAAUGGGUGAAAUUGCCCCAUGAUUCAAUUACCUCCAUCUGGUCUCUCCCUUAACACCUGGAGAUUACGGGGAUUACAAUUCAAGAUGAGAUUUUGGGUGGGGACACAGCAAAA